ensembl:lncRNA
GGAACCCAGCCCUCUACCUGGUACCUACUACCAUCAGGACCCAGGGGAACCCAGCCCUCUACCUGGUACCCCACUACCAUCAGGACCCAGGGGAACCCAGCCCUCUACCUGGUACCUACUACCAUCAGGACCCAGGGGAACCCAGCCCUCUACCUGGUACCCACAUACCAUCAGGACCCAGGGGAACCCAGCCCUCUACCUGGUACCUACACCAUCAGAACCCAGGGGAACCCAGCCCCCUACCUGGUACCAACUACCAUCAGGACCCAGGGGAACCAGCCCUCUACCUGGUACAUACACCAUAACCAUCAGGACCCAGGGAACCCAGCCCUCUACCUGGUACCUACUACCAUCAGGACCCAGGGAAACCCAGCCUCUACCUGGUACUACUACCAUACCAUCAGGACCCAGGGGAACCCAGCCUCACCUGGUACAUACUACCAUCAGAACCCAGGGGAACCCAGCCCUCUACCUGGUACCUAAAACCAUACCAUCAGGACCCAGGGGAACCCAGCCCUCUACCUGGUACCUAAAACCAUCAGGACCCAGGGGAACCCAGCCCUCUACCUGGUACCUAAAACCCUACCAUCAGGACCCAGGGGAACCCAGCCCCUCACCUGGUACCUAAAAACCAAAUCAUGACCCAGGGGAACCCAGCCCUCUACCUGGUAACCUAAAACAUCAAGGACCAGGGGAACCCAGCCCUCUACCUGGUACCUACUACCAUCAGGACCCAGGGGAACCCAGCCCUCUACCUGGUACCUAAAACCAUACCCUUUUUAAAGAUACUUAAAUCUUCUGUCUUGCCCAUUCACCCUCUGAAUGGCAAACAUUCACAAUCCAUGUCUCAAUUGUUUCAAGGCUUCAAAAUCUCCUCCCCUUCAUCUACACUGAUUGAAAUGGAUUUAACAGGUGACAUCAAUAAGGGAUCAUAUCUUUCACCUGGAUUCACCUGGUCAGUCUGUCAUGGAAACAGCAGGUGUCCUUAAUGUUUUGUAUACUCAGUGUACAUGUCAUUAUGAUGGUGAAAAAUUGAAUUUCUCCUACUGUGAACAUCAAUAAAGUUGAUUCCAACUGUCCCUGAUUUCCCCUGUGAAUAUCAAUAAAGUUGACCAUAACUCACCUUGGUUUUUGCUGUACUGCAGUUUAGGCAGCUGAGCAAUGAUGAAGAGGAAGUUGACGAUAGGAAAGUAAGGCAGGCGCUUGGUUGUAAUGUAGAUCUACAACAUAUAGAACAGGUGAAGUAAGGGAGGUGCUGGGUUGUAAUGUAGAUCUACAACAUAUAGAACAGGUGAAGGGAGGUGCUGGGUUGUAAUGUAGAACUACAACAUAUAGGAAAGGUGCAGUAAGGGAGGUGCUGGGUUGUAAUAUAGAUCUACAACAUAUAGAACAGGUGCAGUAAGGGAGGUGCUGGGUUGUAAUAUAGAUCUACAACAUAUAGAACAGGUGCAGUAAGGGAGGUGCUGGGUUGUGAUGUAGAUCUACAACAUAUAGAACAGGUGAAGGGAGGUGCUGGGUUGUAAUAUAGAUCUACAACAUAUAGAACAGGUGCAGUAAGGGAGGUGCUAGGUUGUGAUGUAGAACUACAACAUGAACAAACAACUCCAAUCAACAUUGAGCACACACACAUGCAAUCUCCAUAGACAAACAUUGUCAGUAGAAUGGCAUUACUGAAGAGCCCAGUGACUCAACGUGACAUCGUUAUAGGAUGCCACCCUUCUAACAAGUCAGGUGUCCAUAUACUUUUGGUCAUGUACUGUACCUUGUUGAGUGGGUUGUGUAUCCCUGUAGUAGUAGUAGUAGUAAUAGUAGUAGUAGUAGUAAUAGUAGCCAUAGCAAUAGUAGUAGCAGUAGUAGUAAUAUAACCAGUAGUAGUAAUAGUAGCAGUAGUAGUAAUAAUACCAGUAGUAGUAGUAGUAGUAGUAGUAGUAGUAGUAGUAGUAUUAGUAGUAGCAGUAUUAGUAGUAGCAGUAUUAGUAGUAGCAGUAUUAGUGGCAGUAGUAGUAGCAGUAAUAGUAAUUAGAAGCCAGACCUUGUUGAGUGGGUUGUGAAUGUAGUAGUAGUAGCAGUAUUAGUAGUAGCAGUAGUAGUAGUAGUAGUAGUAGUAGCAGUAAUAGUAAUUAGAAGCCAGACCUUGUUGAGUGGGUUGUGAGUGUAGUAGCAGUAGCAGUAGUAGUAGCAGUAGUAGCAGUAUUAGUAGUAGUAGUAAUUAGAAGCCAGACCUUGUUGAGUGGGUUGUGAAUGUAGUAGUAGUAGUAGUAGUAGUAGUAACAGUAGUAGCAGUAUUAGUAGUAAUUAGAAGCCAGACCUUGUUGAGUGGGUUGUGAAUGUAGUAGUAGUAGUAGUAGUAGUAGUAGUAGUAGUAGUAGUAGUAGUAGUAACAGUAGUAGUAACAGUAGUAGUAGUAAUAGUAGUAGUAAUAGUAGCAGUAUUAGUAGCAGCAGUAAUAGUAAUUAGAAGCCAGACCUUGUUGAGUGGGUUGUGAAUGUAGUAGUAGUAGUAGUAGUAGUAGUAGUAGUAUUAGCAGCAUGUGUAUUAGUAGCAGUAGUAGUACUUAGUAGCAGCCGUAGUAGUAGUAGUAGCCCGCAGUCGUAGUAGUAGCAGCAGUAGUAGUAGUUAGUAGCAGCAGUAGUAGUAGUAGUAGCAGUAAUAGUUAAUUAGAAGCCAGACCCUUGUUGAGUGGGUUGUGAAUGUAGUAGUUA